ensembl:lncRNA
GUUUUCUUAAGCUGUAUGGAGGGGAGCGCUGCGAAAUCCUGUUUGAGAAUCUUCUUGGAUGGCUCUCACCCGGUGGAGGGCUGGGUGGAGUUGCUGACUGAACCAGACUCUCAGAAGACAGAAAGCAAAAAUGAGAAAGUUUUAAAGACUUCUGUCAAGGCUGAUGUGCCUGUUUGAAGGUAACAAGGCGCCGUCUUUUCAUAUGAUUUGCUUUCAAUUCUGGCUUGCUAUGACAUCAUCAUGACCACGGUCAGAUAUUGUCAUCAGGGACACAUCAUCUCCUGUACCAGAUUCUGUUUCUUUAAGGUGGGAACCAAAACCAGCAUUUGGUAUUCAAGAUGCAACUACACCAUGAGUUUCUGUAACAGCACAGUGUUUUCUGAUUUGUUCUCUGGCUGUUGUCCAACAACCCCCAGUUUUGCAUUUCUGACCAAUACCAUUACUGUUGUCCACGCUGACUUGCAGCUCCAUGACCUCCUUUUAACUCCACUGACGUGGCUCUGCACACGUCUGCGCUAAGUGGAACAAGGAACUGACACAGAUAAAGGACAACACCACAACCACCUGUAUUAAUGUCCUGUUUUCCAAAUUAUUCCUCUGGCGUGGUUUAUGACAGGUACCUGCAGGUGCUCUAAGAGUUAAUGAGUAUUGGAAAAUACUCGAAGGAGCUACAGGCUUACCAAAACCACACUGUUAAUUUUGUCAAGAAUGAUAGAUACAUCGUAUGUUGAAUAAUUGUGUUAGCAAAUCAAAAAGACUUCUACACAUCCUUAGGAAAUAUGUAUAUUUUUACUUUGGACUAUGACAAAUACACUUUGUACUGCAUUUGUAGCUAUGAGGCAUGUGAAGUUUCAUAC